rnacentral:misc_RNA from 1 species
GAUGAAGAACGUAGCGAAAUGCGAUAAGUAAUGUGAAUUGCAGAAUUCAGUGAAUCAUCGAAUCUUUGAACGCACAUUGCGCCCCCUGGUAUUCCGGGGGGCAUGCCUGUCCGAGCGUCAUUACAACCCUCAAGCUCAGCUUGGUGUUGGGCCCCGCCGCCCCGGCGGGCCCUAAAGUCAGUGGCGGUGCCGUCCGGCUCCGAGCGUAGUAAUUCUUCUCGCUCUGGAGGUCCGGUCGUGUGCUCGCCAGCAACCCCCAAUUUUUUUCAGGUUGACCUCGGAUCAGGUAGGGAUACCCGCUGAACUUAUGCAUAUCAAUAAGCGGAGGA